UACGUAGGUGGCAAGCGUUGUCCGGAAUUAUUGGGCGUAAAGCGCGCGCAGGCGGUCCUUUAAGUCUGAUGUGAAAGCCCACGGCUCAACCGUGGAGGGUCAUUGGAAACUGGGGGACUUGAGUGCAGGAGAGAAGAGUGGAAUUCCAAGUGUAGCGGUGAAAUGCGUAGAGAUUUGGAGGAACACCAGUGGCGAAGGCGACUGUCUGGUCUGUAACCGACACUGAGGCGCGAAAGCGUGGGGAGCGAACAGG
rnacentral:rRNA from 1 species